UGAGGAAUAUUGGUCAAUGGGCGCAAGCCUGAACCAGCCAUCCCGCGUGCAGGAAGACGGCGCUAUGCGUUGUAAACUGCUUUUCCAGGGGGAGAAACUUGCGCACGUGUUGCGCAAUUGACGGUACCCUGGGAAUAAGCAUCGGCUAACUCCGUGCCAGCAGCCGCGGUAAUACGGAGGAUGCAAGCGUUAUCCGGAUUCAUUGGGUUUAAAGGGUGCGUAGGCGGACUAUUAAGUCAGUGGUGAAAUCCUGCAGCUUAACUGCAGAACUGCCAUUGAUACUGAUAGCCUUGAGUUUGGUUAAGGUAGGUGGAAUGUGUAAUGUAGCGGUGAAAUGCUUAAGAUAUUACACAGAACACCAAUUGCGUAGGCAGCUUACUGAGCCGACACUUAGCUGAG
rnacentral:rRNA from 1 species